CACUCUGGAGAAGCCCGGAAGUCCGGGUGCCGAAGGUGUAAGGCUGCAGGAAGGCAGCUGUAUCUCUCAGGCAAAAGGACAGAGCAUG
rnacentral:ncRNA from 1 species